UACGUAGGUGACCAGCGUUGUCCGGAUUUACUGGGCGUAAAGCGCGCGCAGGCGGUCGUUCAAGUCGAGUGUGAAAGCCCCCGGCUCAACUGGGGAGGGUCACUCGAUACUGAUCGACUUGAAGGCAGGAGAGGGAAGCGGAAUUCCCGGUGUAGUGGUGAAAUGCGUAGAUAUCAGGAGGAACACCGGUGGCGAAGGCGGGUCUCUGGGCCGAAAUUGACGCUGAGGAGCGAAAGCGUGGGGAGCAAACAGG
rnacentral:rRNA from 1 species